GCAGCAGGCACGCAAAUUACCCAUUUCCAGAACGGAGAGGUAGUGACAAAAAAUAACGAUACGGGACUCUUUUGAGGCCCCGUAAUCGGAAUGAGUACACUUUAAAUCCUUUAACAAGGAUCGAUUGGAGGGCAAGUCUGGUGCCAGCAGCCGCGGUAAUUCCAGCUCCAAUAGCGUAUAUUAAAGUUGUUGCAGUUAAAAAGCUCGUAGUUGGUUUUGCGUUCAACGCUGUCGGUUCGCCGCCUGACGGUGAAACUGGCAUGUUGUUGUACGUCCUGCCGGUGGUAAAUUAUUGCCUGGUGUGUGACAAAAAAACUUUUAGUUUUUUUGUUACUACCUUUGUUGUAAUUGUUUACCGAUAUCCUACCCGGUGCUCUUAAACGAGUGUCGCGGUAGGCCGGCAAAUUUACUUUGAACAAAUUAGAGUGCUUAAAGCAGGCUAAAAAUAUAGCCUGAAUAGUGGUGCAUGGAAUAAUAGAAUAGGACCUUGGUUCUAUUUUGUUGGUUUUCGGGACACAAGGUAAUGAUUAAUGUAGACAAGCGGGGGCAUUCGUAUUGCGGCGUUAGAGGUGAAAUUCUUGGAUCGUCGCAAGACGCACAAAAGCGAAAGCAAUUGCCAAGUAUGUCUUAAUUGAUCAAGAACGAAAGUUAGAGGCCCGAAGGCGAUCAGAUACCGCCCUAGUUCUAACCAUAAACGAUGCCAGCCAGCGAUCCGACGUGUUCAUAUUAUGACACGUGCGGGCAGCUUUUACCCGGGAAACCAAAGCUGUUGGGUUCCGGGGGAAGUAUGGUUGCAAAGCUGAAACUUAAAGGAAUUGACGGAAGGGCACCACCAGGAGUGGAGCCUGCGGCUUAAUUUGACUCAACACGGGAAACCUCACCGGGUCAGGACAUUGUAAGGAUUGACAGAUUGAUAGCUCUUUCUUGAUUCAGUG
rnacentral:rRNA from 1 species